rnacentral:rRNA from 1 species
UGGGGAAUAUUGCACAAUGGGGGAAACCCUGAUGCAGCGACGCCGCGUGAGCGAAGAAGGUAUUCGUAUCGUAAAGUUCUGUCCUAUGGGAAGAUAAUGACAGUACCAUAGCAGAAAGCUCCGGCUAAAUACGUGACAGCAGCCGCGGUAAUACGUAUGGAGCGAGCGUUGUCCGGAAUUAUUGGGCGUAAAGGGUACGCAGGCGGUUUAAUAAGUCGAAUGUUAAAGAUCGGGGCUCAACCCCGCAAAGCAUUGGAAACUGAUAAACUUGAGUAGUGGAGAGGAAAGUGGAAUUCCUAGUGUAGUGGUGAAAUACGUAGAUAUUAGGAGGAAUACCAGUAGCGAAGGCGACUUUCUGGACACAAACUGACGCUGAGGUACGAAAGCGUGGGGAGCAAACAGG